AUUGAACGCUGGCGGCAGGCCUAACACAUGCAAGUCGAGCGAGUGGCGAACGGGUGAGUAACAUAUCGGAACGUACCGAGUAAUGGGGGAUAACUAAUCGAAAGAUUAGCUAAUACCGCAUAGUAUUCGAGCGGCCGAUAUCUGAUUAGCUGGUGGGUGGGGUAAAGGCCUACCAAGGCGACGAUCAGUAGCGGGUCUGAGAGGAUGAUCGGCCACACGGGGACUGAGACACGGCCCAGACUCCUACGGGAGGCAGCAGUGGGGAAUUUUGGGCAAGGGGCGCAAGCCUGAUCCAGCCAUGCCGCGUGUCUGAAGAAGGCCUUCGGGUUGUAAAGGACUUUUGUCAGGGAAGCGGUACCUGAAGAAUAAGCACCGGCUAACUACGUGCCAGCAGCCGCGGUAAUAC
rnacentral:rRNA from 1 species